rnacentral:ncRNA from 1 species
UUUGGGUAUCUGAUAAUUCAGAUUUAAUAGGGAACACGGGUGAGAUUCCCGGACAGUCCCGCUGCUGUAUUUCUCAGGUAUCGUUUGGAUGAGCAUUCAGCCCCUUUGAAUGCAACAAACGCCACUGGCCUCGAUGGCCGGGAAGGUUCCAGACGGGGAGAUAAGUCAGAAGACCUGCCCAUAAUUCUA